rnacentral:rRNA from 1 species
UGGGGAAUAUUGCACAAUGGGCGCAAGCCUGAUGCAGCGACGCCGCGUGAGGGAUGACGGCCUUCGGGUUGUAAACCUCUUUCAGCAGGGAAGAAGCGCAAGUGACGGUACCUGCAGAAGAAGCGCCGGCUAACUACGUGCCAGCAGCCGCGGUAAUACGUAGGGCGCAAGCGUUGUCCGGAAUUAUUGGGCGUAAAGAGCUCGUAGGCGGUUUGUCGCGUCUGCUGUGAAAACGCGAGGCUCAACCUCGCGCCUGCAGUGGGUACGGGCAGACUAGAGUGCGGUAGGGGAGACUGGAAUUCCUGGUGUAGCGGUGGAAUGCGCAGAUAUCAGGAGGAACACCGGUGGCGAAGGCGGGUCUCUGGGCCGUAACUGACGCUGAGGAGCGAAAGCAUGGGGAGCGAAC